rnacentral:rRNA from 1 species
UACGUAGGGUGCGAGCGUUGUCCGGAAUUAUUGGGCGUAAAGAGCUCGUAGGCGGUGUGUCGCGUCGGCCGUGAAAACCUGCAGCUUAACUGUGGGCUUGCGGUCGAUACGGGCAUCACUGGAGUUCGGCAGGGGAGACUGGAAUUCCUGGUGUAGCGGUGAAAUGCGCAGAUAUCAGGAGGAACACCGGUGGCGAAGGCGGGUCUCUGGGCCUGUACUGACGCUGAGGAGCGAAAGCGUGGGGAGCGAACAGG